CCUACGGGAGGCAGCAGUAAGGAAUAUUGGUCAAUGGACGAAAGUCUGAACCAGCCAUGCCGCGUGAAGGAUGAAGGUCCUCUGGAUUGUAAACUUCUUUUAUCUGGGACGAAAAAAGGGCUUUCUAGCUCACUUGACGGUACCAGAGGAAUAAGCACCGGCUAACUCCGUGCCAGCAGCCGCGGUAAUACGGAGGGUGCAAGCGUUAUCCGGAUUUACUGGGUUUAAAGGGAGCGUAGGUGGGCAGGUAAGUCAGUGGUGAAAUCUCUGGGCUUAACCCGGAAACUGCCAUUGAUACUAUCUGUCUUGAAUAUCCUGGAGGUAAGCGGAAUAUGUCAUGUAGCGGUGAAAUGCUUAGAUAUGACAUAGAACACCCAUUGCGAAGGCAGCUUACUACGGGAUUAUUGACACUGAGGCUCGAAAGCGUGGGGAUCAAACAGGAUUAGAUACCCUGGUAGUCCACGCCCUAAACGAUGGAUACUCGACAUCAGCGANACACUGUUGUGUNUGAGNGAAGANAUAAUAUACCACCNCGGAGACGACGACGAGUAGUAACGUACAAUAGAGUAGACGCGUGAGAGAGACGACGACGACGACGAGGGAGGAGG
rnacentral:rRNA from 1 species